AAGACUAUAGACCUGCGGAGUACCUGCGGAAGGAUCAUUAGUGAACGCCCUCACGGGCUUAUAACUAUUCCAAACCUCUGUGAACCGUGCCCUUCGGGGCUAUUUUACAAACAUGGUGUAAUGAACGUCAUAUAUCAUAACAAAACGAAACUUUUAACAAUGGAUCUCU
rnacentral:misc_RNA from 1 species